UGCAGAAUGUCCAGCAGCAGAGCGUGAGUGGCCUGAGAAAUGGAGCUGGGACUCAGGAGAGCAACACGUGGCUGUGUCCCAGAGCUCCCAAAGUGUGGCCAUUGCAAGUCGCUGGUGUUGUGCAGCACAGCCACGGCACGGCCCUCAGUGCGUACGCGAGGAGCGUGAAAAGCUCCUCCUCCCCUCAGCUGCAAGUGGGGCAGUGCUCGAGUGUGAGGACUCUUCCUUGGCAUGCGGUAACAGACAAUGCAGAUGUGACUUUUGUGUCCUUCCUUGUUCUUGGGUUCGUAGCCCAGGGAUAUCUUGCGAGCAGCUCUCUAAGUCAGACUGUGCUGGCAGCGUGCGUGAGUGAAAUAGUGCCUCUUUUUUCCCUCUUGCAGCAAGCUUGCCGAGGCAAGGCAAGCGCUACUCAGCUGAGGAAGAAAGCCGAGAAGGAAAGCAGAAAGCAACGAUGAGGGCUUGAGCAAGAAGCUACAAAGGACAGCAGAACCACCUGCAACGCUUCCUCGGAGGUGGCACCAAGAGCUGCUGACUCAACAGUCCAGUUUACUGGCACAGCCGUGCUUUCCCUGUCAUGGACGGUGGAGAUGAUGGAAGUGAACUGGACAGGAAGGACUUGUGCUGCGUUAGAAGCAAUGAGGGCUUCACAUAGGCAGGACUUGGUGUAU